UAACACUAUACAUUAUAUUUGGUAAUUACAUUUUGUUUUAAUGAUGAAACCGUUGUGGUGCUCAUAUUUCUCUUAUGUUAGUAUUUGUAUAUUCCACUGUGCUAUAGUGGUUUGUAGUGUUAUAGAGCUUUUGUUUCUUAAUAUGACCUCAUUGAUAAUUGAUACUCACACGGAAGCUAUUAAACCAAGAGUUACCAGUGAUUUGAUCUAUCUUCUUUCAUCCAAAAUAUACCUUCCAAAUAAGAAUUUUCAACUGGUUUAUGUUUAAAGGAAAUACAAGGCGGGAGCUAUGGGUGGUGCAGGAUCUGUGUUCUCUUCCGUAGCAUUUGAUAUAAACACCGAUGUUGGUUUUAUUGGUUUUGCUCAGUCUUGAAUUAAAAUUUAUAUGUUGUGUUUUGUAUACUGUUGUUCGUUCUUCUUUUGUAUUUUGUUGCUUUGACGUUGGGAAUGUAUUGUUGCCUUAUGCGUUUAAAUUUAUCUUUGGUAUCUUUAACCUUUCUUUUAUUGAUGACAGUCUUUAGUUACAUUGAUUACAUAUGCAAUUAUUAUUCUUAUAAUCGUUCCAGUAAACAUUAUUUAAAAAAAAAGGUUUUGUUACCAAGUUGAACUCUUUUAAGCGGUAACUUGUAAAUAAGUCACGAUUAGGAAUAAUGUUAUAAUCGGUUUAAUUUCAACACUGUUCAAAAUUAUUACAAAUUCUAAUUUCAUUUUUGGUAGCUAACUUCAAUUUCUAUGUAUUUCUAAUUAUCAUACGACAGUAAUUGGCCAACUAUUUUAUCAAUAUACACAAAAACCAUCAAUCUUUUUAGUAACUAUGUUCCUCACAAUGCAACAUAUAUAGUGACAAACACAGCCAAUUAAAUGUCAUCGGCAUUAUCAUUCAUUCAGAUUCGAUUGAAAAACUCUUGACCAAGAUUAUCGUAAUUUUUUUAAAUUCAUAUUGUAGGAAAUAAUGAAUACAUUGUAAUAAAUUUCAAAAAAACAAAUAAUCAAUAAAACGUUGUUUAUUGCGUCCUAUGUUAAUUAAUGCAAAUGAGUGGUAUUGGGUGAGUGAAUUGCUCGUGUCAGCAACUGGUCAUUAGUUCUAUUAAUCUUAUAUUUAUGUAUACUAUAAAUGGUGUUUUAGUUUAAUUAAGUUUAGUUGUUUUAUGUAUUUGUCAUGUACAGAUGGUGUCUACACGACUAUUACACUUUUUAAAGUUACAAGUAAAAAUGGCUAUAAAAUUAUGUAGGACAAUCGGGAAGAUGUUUGUUGGGCAAUAAAGAAGUUUUGAAUGUUAGACGAUUUGACAUUGUUUUGAAAGUUAUUAUUGGUUAAUUGUGUAGCAGAUAUUUACAGGCAAUUAAUGAAAGUUGUUUAUUAUAUGUGUUUGAAAUAAACAUUGAAAGUUGGCAUUUACAUAUUUUAUUUCGAGUACUGUUUACAAAUUUUUCAAUUUUUUGAAAUACUAAGGCUUUUCUACCUCAGGCAUAUAUUACCUUAGCUGUAUUUGGCAAAACUUUUAGGAAUUUUGGUCCUCAAUGCUCAUUAACUUCGUUCUUUAUUUGGCCUUUUUAACUUUUUUGGAUUCGAGCGUCACUGAUGAGUCUUUUGUAGACGAAACGCGC
rnacentral:lncRNA from 1 species